rnacentral:rRNA from 1 species
AGUGAACGCUGGCGGUAGGCCUAACACAUGCAAGUCGAACGGCAGCACAGUAAGAGCUUGCUCUUACGGGUGGCGAGUGGCGGACGGGUGAGGAAUACAUCGGAAUCUACUUUUUCGUGGGGGAUAACGUAGGGAAACUUACGCUAAUACCGCAUACGACCUACGGGUGAAAGCAGGGGAUCUUCGGACCUUGCGCGAUUGAAUGAGCCGAUGUCGGAUUAGCUAGUUGGCGGGGUAAAGGCCCACCAAGGCGACGAUCCGUAGCUGGUCUGAGAGGAUGAUCAGCCACACUGGAACGGAGACACGGUCCAGACUCCUACGGGAGGCAGCAGUGGGGAAUAUUGGACAAUGGGCGCAAGCCUGAUCCAGCCAGACCGCGUGGGUGAAGAAGGCCUUCGGGUUGUAAAGCCCUUUUGUUGGGAAAGAAAAGCAGCAGGUUAAUACCCCGCUGUUCUGACGGUACCCAAAGAAUAAGCACCGGCUAACUUCGUG